GAGAGCCGAAUACAUUGAAAGGUGUACGUUCGGUUCGGAGGGGGGUUCACAAAAAUCUGCUGUAAUUCAGUUAUAGUAAGACGUUGGGUUCCUACCCUAC
rfam:Clostridium kluyveri DSM 555, complete genome.